UCUUCCGCUGUGAAAUUAGCUCUAUGGCAGUCUAGUUAUUUUUUGACCUUUGACCUGAGUCAGUGAUGUCAUCAGAAAAUGUCCAAACAUGUUAAACCCACAAACAUCAUAUCAUCUUGUCAGAACCACCAGGACUGUUGUAUCAGGUCAGUGCAGAUCAAAAACAGGACACAAGUACACCUUCAGAGCAGAAACUAAUUUUUCAGAGAAAUCAAACAUUUUCUUUGUUGAAAAGUGUUAUUAUUGAGAGGAAAAAGAAGUUCUUUGUGGACUGAGCCGUGUGCAAUGUGUUGGGUAGAUAUCUGUGUUUGUCUUCAGAUUUUUAAGAAAGCGAAGCAAGUGAAAAAAAAAAAGACAAAAAAAUAAAAAAUAAAGUCUUCAAGCUCCUGGACUCUAAACACAAGGGCCACAAAAAGAAUCCCAGUCUUUCAAAGUGUUAAAGAGGGAAAGUUAAUUUUUACUUUUCAUUUAUCUUUUUUUAAUGUUUUAUUUGUAGGCUUUUGUUUUUUAACUAUUCUAGGGAGCCGAAGGAACGAUUUUACAAAAGCAAAUGUAUUAUGACAAAAAUGAAAGAAAAGAAAAUACUGGUGCUUCUGAUACUCAUAUGCGAAUAAUACCACACCAGAACAACUGUUUCUGACGAGACUGACUGAAGUUUAACGAGCCUCUGUUUCUCUCCUCUUCUCUUUUGUAUUUACUAAGGGGGGUUCAUAUUUUUAUAUAUAUAUAUUUUGGUUCUGCAUUUUACUACAACCUUUAAGAAAGCAGUGCCCAUUCUUUCUUCUUCAAAUGUCUUGUCAAAUGGUGCAUUCAAGUCAUGUCAGAAAGAUCGUAUUUAUGAGUUGAAAACACAGGAAUGUCACCACAAUGUCAUAGCAAUGAAUUCAGCAUCUAAAUUUGUUAAAAUGUAUGAAAUUAUAUAUUACAUUUGCAAUAAAGUUGCAUAAUAAAUUAUGAUAGUACUCCACAAUUGCAAUAUAAUACAUAACGAUUCUGAACCUUCAUGAAUUGAAUAAAAAUCAAAAUGCACACCUGAUACGCAUUAUUUAUUUGUCAUUUUUCAGAAGUAGAGUAGAAGGGGAUUUAAACACACUUGAGGACUUCACAACUCGUAAAUACGAACGUCUCAGGAGGACUUGAAUGUACCGUAAUACCAGAUGAAUAUACAGAAAAGCAUGUGUUUGUUUGGAGUAACGGCUAUAAUGAAGUGUCACGAUUGAGAAUAGAGUAGAGGGUUCGUCACAAGCAAUCAGAUCCCAUUCACUCUGGGCUUCAUUUAGAUAAGAUAGUAUCGAUGUUAAUGUGAGUAGGGGUUUGUUCGUUGUAGUUUAGAGCACAUGUGGUUCAAGAUGAGAGGCAAAAAACGCAUCUGAAAAAACAUUCAGUGCCCCACGGCCACCCCGUUAUCAUCCUGGAAACACUUCCUUUAUGUAAAUGAGCUCCCAUAGUGUUCGUGCUGUAGUGUAUAGGUGAGCAUUUAAAGGUUGAGCCAUUUAAAGUGCCUUUUGUUCACAGACACCAUCUUGUAAACGAUGAACACCCAUCUUUCCUCCUUCUGAGCUUUCCCAAGCUGUAAACACAGUGUAUAGUAUUACAAGAAAAUAGAUGUGAUUUCAUUCUUUUAUUGUACGAUGAUGGAAAAAGUAAAAAAAAAAAGGUCCCUUUUUCUCUGUAUCAGUCUCUCGCUCUUGGCACCGUAGAUGUCUAUCCUUAUCUGUCCUCCCUCUCCCUACUUUUGAUGAAAAAAUGUUGAACCUUUUUCUCUUGAGCAAGAUGUUGUAAACUCUGUUAUAUCCCUGUCUGUAUGCUUCACAUGUUUAUAUCAUACACAUCUCUUGCUCUUUGGUCAAACGCAGUGAGCUCUGAGUUGAAGUCAACCCAGGACCAGCUCCGCUCACCUUUCCUAAAUCUGAGACCAGCAGUACCGGUGUGUCUUGGGAAGCGGUGCGGUCCUGGUACCAAAUCAUUUUGGGCUGUUGGUGGAGAGCGCUGAACCAGAAGAUGCACAAUAGCUAUGUCAUGUUUGUUUGUGUGUAUUUAUUUCCGUUUUAGUCAUAAUUCAAAAGUCUCACUGUUGACUCUGACUAUAAAGCACCUUUUAGUGGUUGAGACCAGCUGUUUAAAGACCUUGCCUGAGGAUUUGCUAAUUGCACCUUAUGCACCGAUUAAAUCUGAAGACACAGUGCACUUAGAAUAAUAUAUGACAUGCAUUUACAAGUACUGAUCCAGAUGUGGUGGCAGCUUUGUUAUCAAUGGUUGACUAGUAAUAGGUUAAUAUAGCAGUAAAAUCUUCCCUACAUCCACACUGGAUUGUGUCAGAAUUAUUAAACUUUAGUUGCGAACAUUUAUUCACAGUCUGCCCCGAUUUACCCAUGCAUAUCUACCCAGAUUGUGUUUCCGAUUUGCUUGUUUUGAUACAGAAGCAUCUCUGUUCCAGCGCUCUCCGUCCCCGCGCGCCUCCACAGAGCCUUUAGCAAUCUGCAUGUGUUAUUUACAGAUUCUUUUCCAUUAUAAAAAACAACAAUGUUUGUAAAGAGCAGCACCUGAUUGAAUAAAUGAUGUUCUUGACUGUACAAAAA